rnacentral:piRNA from 1 species
UGAUGAAGAAAGCGCUUAAGUCAUGCCAAGU